rfam:Triticum aestivum genome assembly, contig: Triticum_aestivum_CS42_TGACv1_scaffold_501766_6BL
CUAGUACUCCCUCCGUCCCAAAAUUCUUGUCUUGGAUUUGUCUUGUAUCUAACACUAAAACGUAACUAGAUACAUCCAUAUUUAGACAAAUCUAAGACAAGAAUUUUGGGCCGGAGGGAGUACAAC